rnacentral:rRNA from 1 species
AGGAACCUGCCUUUCAGAGGGGGACGAACAGUUGGAAACGACUGCUAAUACCGCAUGAUGUAUCGGAGUCGCAUGGCACUGAUACCAAAGAUUUAUCGCUCUGAGAUGGACUCGCGUCUGAUUAGCUAGUUGGCGGGGCAACGGCCCACCAAGGCGACGAUCAGUAGCCGGACUGAGAGGUUGGCCGGCCACAUUGGGACUGAGACACGGCCCAGACUCCUACGGGAGGCAGCAG